rnacentral:rRNA from 1 species
AGCGAACGCUGGCGGCGUGUCUUAGGCAUGCAAGUCGAACGGCAGCAUAGCGGUGCUUGCACCGCUGAUGGCGAGUGGCGAACGGGUGAGUAACGCGUAGGAAUCUGCCCCUAGGUCCGGGAUAGCCAAGAGAAAUCUUGGGUAAUACCUGAUAAUAUCGUAAGAUCAAAGCUCCCUCAAAGGAGCGCCAAGGGAUGAGCCUGCGUCCUAUCAGCUUGUUGGUGAGGUAAUGGCUCACCAAGGCUAAGACGGGUAGCCGGCUUGAGAGAGUGGCCGGCCACAAGGGAACUGAGACACGGUCCCUACUCCUACGGGAGGCAGCAGCCAAGAAUAUUCCGCAAUGGGGGAAACCCUGACGGAGCGACGCCGCGUGAAGGAUGAAGGCAUUCGUGUUGUAAACUUCUUUUCUGUGGGAAGAAUAAGCCCUGGAGGAAAUGCCAGGGUGAUGACGGUACCACAGGAAUAAGCCCCGGCAAAUUACGUGCCAGCCGCCGCCGUAACAC